rnacentral:misc_RNA from 1 species
GUGGUCUUGUGAACUUGCGAGCACUGAUUUUGAAUGACAAUGACAUUGUUUCGAUUUGCAAGCUUGAUAAAAUGAAAGAGUUGAAUACAUUGGUUCUAUCUAGAAAUCCAAUAUCUGGAAUUGGCCAGAGUCUAGCCAAAAUCAACUCGAUCACAAAAUUAUCUCUCUCUAAUUGCCAACUACAAGGUGUUGACUCUUCACU